AGCGAACGCUGGCGGCAGGCCUAACACAUGCAAGUCGAACGAUCCUUCGGGAUGGUGGCGGAAGUGUGAGUAACACGUGGGAACGGGCACUUUGGUACAGACCACCUCAGGGAAACUUGUGCCAAUACCGAAUGCGCCCUUCGGCGCAAAGAUUUAUUGCCAUUGGAGCGGCCCGCGUCAGAUUAGCUAGUUAGUGAGGUAAUGGCUCACCAAGGCGACGAUCAAUAGCUGGUAUGUGAGGAUGAUCAGCCACACUGGGACUGAGACACGGCCCAGACUCCUACGGGAGGCAACAGUGGGGAAUCUUGCGCAAUGGGCGAAAGCCUGACGCAGCCAUGCCGCGUGAAUUAUGAAGGUCUUAGGGUUGUAAAAUUCUUUCACCGGGGACGAUAAUGACGGUACCCGAAGAAUAAGCUCCGGCUAACUUCGUGCCAGCAGCCGCGGUAA
rnacentral:rRNA from 1 species